AAGCUCUGGUUAUGCAACAGAGUGGUGUGGAGUGGAGAGGGACUCUCUUACUCUCAGCCCAGGCUAAUCCAAGUGCCGAGCUCUUCCUCUUUCCAGAAACACCAGAGAAGUUUCUAUUCUCUUUGUGCAGUCAGUGAAUUCUCUGUGGGGAUCUCCAUCUAUCUGGCAGGUCACAUUACAGCUCUGCUCUGUAACUGAUCUGCCCAUCGGUUUCCACAGAAGAAGUGUUGCUGAUGAAUGACUGCACAUGGCGCGGAGAAUUAUGUUGCAGAGUUGUUACUUUUCAACCAGGGAGCUUUCCUGGGAAAUUUCCAUGAUGUGCUGGACAGCUAAAGAGCUUUGGACAAUAUGUGGGAUACAGCUGCCAUAACUCAUCGUGACCAAUGAACAGAGAGAGCAAAAUGGAUAGAGAAGCUGAGGAUCAAGGAUGCCGGCAGGACACGCAUAUCUGUGCUUGGUGAUGAAUUUUACUGCGUUAGGGAAAGCUGGCUGACUUAAAAAGAUGCUAAACCUGCUGGCAAGGCAUAGCAAUAACCCCCCAAAGUCAGUGUGCUAUGACAACUGCAGUUUCCCUCAACAUGAGACAGCACUGAGUGCGCUGCCAAAUGUCAGCUAAACAGAUUUAUUUUCUCAGAGACCACUUUUUCUUGCCCUUGAAGCCUUCCCUGUGCUUUCCUCUGAGGUGUAGUUAUAAGCAGAGUUGGUAGCACUGCCCUGGAGUAAGUCCAUAUUACAGCUGUGCAGAGCAUAAUUUUGUUGUUUUGUUACAGUAUUUGACACUGCAGUACAGCGCCCUAACAAAGAUACAAACACCCAGGAUUUUAAUAAAAAAACCCAAAUCUUGAGAAAAUAAAACUCAUAUUUUCAUAGAAACAUGGAAUGGCUUCACUUGGAAGACACCUUAAAGAUCAUCCAGUUCCAACUUCCCUGCCAUGGACAGGGACACCUUCCACUGUCCCAGGUUGCUCCAAGGACUAUCCAACCUGGCCUUGGACACUUUCAGGGAUGGGACAGCCACAGCUUCUCUGGACAGGAAUUUUCAAGGAACCAAAAAUCACAAGGCUUGCUUUGAAGUUGGAACUCUCUCACAUGAAUGGAAACAAGUUUCCAGCUAAGUGCAGGUGCCUGCCAUAUGAGGAGAACAAAUCCUGGGACCAUGAGGAGCAAUUUGAUGACUGCUGUGUGCUCUGUGCCCACAGUAGAUUCAUGUCAAGUGGGGGCCGGCCAGCUGAGAGAUCUGCUUUUGUUUUUCCUGUCCUUGAUUUGAUGAUUGAAGCUUUUCAAACAGAACUACAACACACGGCAAGCAUCCACGAUGAAUUUCUAGAUAAAUAAACACUUGGGCUGAGGUUAUUUUGAAGAACGACAGCGUCAGUGCCUCCAAAUGGGAAAUAAUAGAGUGAACUGAGCCCAGACAUUUCUUUCUUUUUUUCUAGAGUUGGAGAACUGCUAUCCCUCCUGUUAACCUGUGCCUCUCUGUUUCAUAGAUUUUCCUGGUGCUUCUGAAGCACUGGGAAAGACAAAGUUAGGGCUGGCUAAGGGUCAGUCCAGGUCCACCCUGAGAGAAAAGAGGCUCUUCCCAUUGCCACAUUGCCCAGAAGUGGGGUGAGGGUCACUCCAGGCCUGGCUACUCAUGGGUUGUGGGCUUGGGGAAGAUCAAUCCCUUGCAGAGAUGUCCACUCCAGGUGAUUGCUCAGCCUUUCCCAGCUGGGGAUGGCUCAGGAGACAUGCCAGAGGCAGCCUUGUGUUGCCUAAGCAUAGCUCUUGGCUCCAUUGCUUGCUCAUCUGUGGCUUUGCCUUCGCUCACUUGUUUCCUUAGAUGAGCUCCUCUGCCUGCUUAUUUGUGUUAGGAAAAUUAUCGUUCUUGUAUUUCGGUCUGUGUCGCUUCCUCUGGGCCUGUUUUGUUAUUGCACAGAGGGAUGUCUCUAAUGAAGUGGACGGAAGGAGGAGGACUCAGGGCUUAUUUUUAUCCUAUACAUAGGAAGUUGGCCAGAACAGGGAAAAACAGAGCAGAAAGCCCUCAGAGCAUUCCCACCCCUCAGGGCUGGAGACAGCAAUCUCCACAGACCUUGCUCAAAUGUUCCACCCCUGCCCAAGGGAACUUUCUCCACAGUUUUGCUUGUUUGUUGUUGAAAGGGAAAACGUGUAUUGCUUCCUGCCACAGGGCCAGGGCUAGCUGCUCUGCCACUACUGCCAUCCAAGCCUCUUUUAUUAAUGAAUUAAACCUCAUACCACCAGACUGACUAAAAAAAGAAAACUAAAAAGGGGGGGACUUGUGUAUGUGUGUUAGUAAUGUAACAGCACCUGGGGCCCUGAUGGGGCUGGCACUGACAUUGCACUUCUGUAAAGAUGGGAGGGCUGGUCUGAGGAGCCCCAAACACAAAACCAACAGACAGGAUCGGGGCAGCAACACAGGGCAGACAUACAGAAAUAUGCAGUGGUUUCUUUUGUGUCCGUGAUGUUCUCAGAAGACAAUGGAUUAUCCCAGACCUUGGAACAACCAGGGAUAGUGGAAGGUGUCCCUGCCCUUGGCAGGGGCUUUGAAUUAGAUGGUCUUUAAGGUCCCCUCCAUUUCAAACCAUUCUGUGAUUCUAUGAUUCCAUAAUUUUAUGAUUCUAUGAUUCUACAAUCAGUGAUCAUUAGAUCAUGCCAUUAGCCUAGAAAUUUUGGGGAAGCUGAAGCAUGUGUUUUAAGGCAAGAUAUUUGCCUUGUGUUCAUCCUCUCUUUGUCCCAUUUAAUCCCCUUUCCAGAAGACAAGUUUGAUUUUUUUCCCCAGUUCUAAUGUCCAAGGAGAGGGCCAAGAGAGCAGACAGUGGGAACCCUCCCACACAACUUCCCUGGCGCAGACCGGCAUCGCCACGGAGCAUCUCCCUCCUCUGCUGCUGCUCCUGCCACACAGCUGGGCUUCAAAGAGGAUGCUCCUCUCCCACGUGCUUCAAAGGGAAAGCAGGAGCCACAGAACAAUUACUCCCACUCACAGGGAGAGGGGAAAUCCUCUUCUAACAGGGGAUCAUCCUGUUACAAUGAGGAUGUCUGGUGAUUUAUGACAUGCUGCUUUAAACCCUCUUUCCCCUCCAAAGAAACACAGGAGACAGCAGAGCUGGAGGGAGAUAGGAGAGACCUGACAUUGGCAAUGCUUGAAAUACAGUGUGAGAGCUGGGAAAACCCUUCUCUGCUGGCCUCAUUAGCAUGACUUAAUUAAUAGUUAUAAUCUUAUCAAGCAGAGGUUGCCAUGCAAGAGGGAUGUGCAGGCCAGGAAUCAAAGCUUUAAUAAAUAGAUAUUUUAAGACCA
ensembl:lncRNA